rnacentral:rRNA from 1 species
GUAGGUGGCAAGCGUUGUCAGGGAAUUAUUGGGGCGUAAAGCGCGCGCAGGCGGUUCUUUAAGUCUGAUGUGAAAGCCCACGGGCUCAACCGUGGAGGGUCAUUGGAAACUGGAGAACUUGAGUACAGAAGAGGAAAGCGGAAUUCCACGUGUAGCGGUGAAAUGCGUAGAGAUGUGGAGGAACACCAGUGGCGAAGGCGGCUUUCUGGUCUGUAACUGACGCUGAGGCGCGAAAGCGUGGGGAGCAAACAGGAUUAGAUACCCUGGUAGUCCACGCCGUAAACGAUGAGUGCUAAGUGUUAGGGGGUUUCCGCCCCUUAGUGCUGCAGCUAACGCAUUAAGCACUCCGCCUGGGGAGUACGGCCGCAAAGGCUGA